rnacentral:piRNA from 2 species
AGGAGAUCAGUGAUGAUGAGGCAGA